rnacentral:tmRNA from 1 species
GAUCGCGGCACGGUUGAUGACCGGUUCGUAAUAACGUUUCAGGACCCGGGGGCAGUGCCCGGCGCCUCCACCACGAGCACCUUGCCCCGGGUACCGCACGGGGAUCAGAGCGAACGGCCGUCGUUGCGAGCCGCGCGUUGCCAGGGUGCUUCUGAUGGGGGCGAAACAGGAUCGACUGGACGGUAAAAGUUCCGCGAGUUUGAUCUUGCUUCGGCAAGGUACAAUGCGACUCUGAGGUAGGUACUCCUCGUCUGGCGCGAGCAACCCUCGUUUCAGGCAACAGGGCCAAAAACUAAAUGCCAACGAUAACGUUGUCAUGGAUGCCCGCCUCGCGGCGUAAGCAUCUUGCGGCAGGGUAGCCGUAGAAACAGAA